rnacentral:lncRNA from 1 species
CAAUAGCUGUGCUUCAAUGUUUUUAAUCGCUCAGCCCUUCGUGGCCAGCCCAGCCACAGUGAAUAAAGUGGAUACUAACCUGUCUUUGGCCAUAAGUGGAAGCAUUCCCUGAAGGAGGGGAGGCUGCAGAUCCACGAUUCACAGAAGACAUGGCUGCAGCCAGCUCACGCUCACAGCUCUGCAGACCGUUCGCAGGUCCUUCACUGAGCCCACCUGAACAGUUGAUGGGCUUCGUGCGAGAGCAAAAAUCUGGAUUUGGUAUGAGAGGGAGACUGAGUUCUGCUAGGAGUCUAACUACAGAAGCAAAGAGCAAGCCAG